CUGAUAGAAGGAAUAUUUAAGGGCCCGCACGUAUUUUGACUGUGCAAAGGUAGCAUAAUCAUUAGGUUUUUAAUUGGGAUCUUGUAUGAAUGAUUGGACAAGAAAAAUUCUGUCUUUAUAUUAAAAAUUGAAUUUAACUUUUAAGUGAAAAGGCUUAAAUAUACUAGAGGGACCGAUAAGACCCUAUAAAACUUUACAUUGUAAAUUAAGGUUUAUAAAUUUAUAAAAAUAAUAAUUUAUUUUAGUUUAAUUGUUGUGUUGGGGAGAUGGAGGCUAUAAUUUAUAUUAACUGCUUAAGAAAAAACCAAAAAUAUAUGAAAAAUUUUAAGGAUCCUUUUUAAAAAUCAAAAAAUUAAGUUCCUUUAGGGAUACCACCGUUUUUUUUUUUGGAGGUCCUUUUCAAAAAAAAAAAUGGCAACCCCAUUGUGGAAUAAAAAAAUUUUUUUAUGGANGGGGUUUNAAAAAAAGGCUGGUCGNCCNUUAAUUUUUUCAAAGGAACNGGGUCCAACCCC
rnacentral:rRNA from 1 species